rnacentral:rRNA from 1 species
GGGGAAUAUUGGACAAUGGGCGCAAGCCUGAUCCAGCAAUGCCGCGUGUGUGAAGAAGGUCUUCGGAUUGUAAAGCACUUUCGGCGGGGACGAUGAUGACGGUACCCGCAGAAGAAGCCCCGGCUAACUUCGUGCCACCAGCCGCGGUAAUACGAAGGGGGCUAGCGCUGCUCGGAAUGACUGGGCGUAAAGGGCGCGUAGGCGGGCUGCGCAGUCAGAUGUGAAAUUCCUGGGCUUAACCUGGGGGCUGCAUUUGAGACGCGUGGUCUAGAGUAUAAAAGAGGGUCGUGGAAUUCCCAGUGUAGAGGUGAAAUUCGUAGAUAUUGGGAAGAACACCGGUGGCGAAGGCGGCGACAUGGUUCAUUUACUGACGCUGAGGCGCGAAAGCGUGGGGAGCAAAC